ensembl:rRNA 5S_rRNA 5S ribosomal RNA
CUUAAUGGCCACACCGCCUGGUUCACGUCCGAUCUCGUUUGAUCUCGGGAAGCUAAAAUAGGUUGGGCCUGGUUAGUACUUGGAUGGGAGACCGCCUGGGAAUACCAGGUGCUGUAAGGG